UACGUAGGGGGCAAGCGUUGUCCGGAAUCAUUGGGCGUAAAGAGCGUGUAGGCGGUUCAGUAAGUCUGCUGUGAAAGUCCAGGGCUCAACCCUGGGAUGCCGGUGGAUACUGCUGGGCUAGAGUACGGAAGAGGCGAGUGGAAUUCCCGGUGUAGCGGUGAAAUGCGCAGAUAUCGGGAGGAACACCUAUUGCGAAGGCAGCUCGCUGGGACGUUACUGACGCCGAGACGCGAAAGCGUGGGGAGCGAACAGG
rnacentral:rRNA from 1 species